CUGAUGAUCACCCCCCACCUCCUCUGGAAGAAAAAUUGUCUUCCGCAAAACCGAUCCCUGGUGCCAAAAAGGUCCCACGUGUUUCAAUGGACAUUUGUCUCCAUCAUAGCCACAUCACACCACAGAUUUGAUUUUUCAGUUCAUUUGGUCAAAUGCCACUCAAAACAAGAAAUGCUAAAGGAGAAGAAGAGUCCAGUUCAAGAUCUGCAUUUCAUUUCUGAUGUUGGCCCAACAACUUUUUCCUUCCAGUUUCUCGGAAGCCUGCCUCCAUAGUUCUCUUUUCCCCCAGUUCGCCCAAGAAUUUAAAGUGAGAAUUCAGAAUAUUCUUUCCCCUUUUCCCCUACUAAUGAUUCAACAGGUAGUAUGAAUUUUCCAUAUUCUGUUUAAUGCUAGGCAUCAGAUUUUCAGAGUUUCUAGCCUCAUUUCCUCUGAAACCAUUAUUUUUGCUGUGUAGUAUCUCUGUCUAAGGUUGUAUUUUAAAAGAUUCCCAAGUCCUUUGUACUAUGACAAGCAUGGAAUAUAACUUUACUAUUGACAAAGAACAAAGAGA